AGUUUGAUCAUGGCUCAGAAUCAACGCUGGCGGCGUGCCUCAGACAUGCAAGUCGAACGACUAAAGCUCUCUUCGGAGAGUGUAUAGAGUGGCGCACGGGUGAGUAACACGUAAGUAAUCUACCCUCGAGUGGGGAAUAACAACCGGAAACGGUUGCUAAUACCGCAUAAUGCAGCGGCACCGCAAGGUGACAGUUGUUAAAGAUUUAUCGCUUGAGGAGGAGCUUGCGGCAGAUUAGCUAGUUGGUAGGGUAACGGCUUACCAAGGCUACGAUCUGUAACCGGUCUAAGAGGACGGUCGGUCACACUGACACUGAAUAACGGGUCAGACUCCUACGGGAGGCAGCAGUCGGAAUUUUGGGCAAUGGGCGAAAGCCUGACCCAGCAACGCCGCGUGAAGGAUGAAGUAUUUCGGUAUGUAAACUUCGAAAGAAUAGGAAGAAUUAAUGACGGUACUAUUUAUAAGGUCCGGCUAACUACGUG
rnacentral:rRNA from 1 species